rnacentral:rRNA from 1 species
AUCUUCCGCAAUGGACGAAAGUCCGACGGAACAACGCCGCGUGAGUGAUGAAGGUUUUCGGCUCGUAAAACUCCGUUGUUAGGGAAGAACAAGUACCGUUCGAAUAGGGCGGCACCUUGACGGUACCUAACCAGAAAGCCACGGCUAACUACGUGCCAGCAGCCGCGGUACUACGUAGGUGGCAACCGUUGUCCGGAAUUAUUGGGCGUAAAGCGCGCGCAGGCGGUUUCUUAAGUCUGAUGGGAAAGCCCCCGGCUCAACCGGGGAGGGUCAUUGGAAACUGGGGAACUUGAGUGCAGAAGAGGAGAGUGGAAUUCCACGUGUAGCGGUGAAAUGCGUAGAGAUGGGGAGGAACACCAGUGGCGAAGGCGACUCUCUGGUCUGUAACUGACGCUGAGGCGCGAAAGCGUGGGGAGCGAACAG